AUUGAACGCUGGCGGCAUGCUUUACACAUGCAAGUCGGACGGUAACAGGUUAAGCUGACGAGUGGCGAACGGGUGAGUAAUGCAUCGGAACGUGCCCGAUCGUGGGGGAUAACGCAGCGAAAGCUGCGCUAAUACCGCAUACGAUCUGAGGAUGAAAGCGGGGGACCGUAAGGCCUCGCGCGAUCGGAGCGGCCGAUGUCAGAUUAGGUAGUUGGUGGGGUAAAGGCUCACCAAGCCGACGAUCUGUAGCUGGUCUGAGAGGACGACCAGCCACACUGGGACUGAGACACGGCCCAGACUCCUACGGGAGGCAGCAGGGGGGAAUUUUGGACAAUGGGCGAAAGCCUGAUCCAGCAAUGCCGCGUGCAGGAAGAAGGCCUUCGGGUUGUAAACUGCUUUUGUACGGAGCGAAAAGGCUCUCUCUAAUACAGGGGGCUCAUGACGGUACCGUAAGAAUAAGCACCGGCUAACUACGUGCCAGCCGCCGCCGUAACAC
rnacentral:rRNA from 1 species